CUGAAGUGAUCUGCCCACCUCGGCUUCCCAAAGUGCUGGGACUGCAGGUGUGAGCCACUGCGCCUGGCCCCUUCAGGUGGGUUUUGAGGCUUCACGUUGCUGCUGCAAUAAAUUACCACACACUUAGUGGCUUAAAACAGCACAGAGGUAUUCCCUUACAUUUCUGAAGGCCAGAAUUCUAAAAUCAGUCCCACUGAGUCAAGGUGGGAGCAGGGUCAGUGCCUUCCCAGGCUCUGCGGGAGAAUCUGUUUCCUGGCCCUGGAGGCGGCCUGUACUCCUUAGCUUGUGCUGCCCUUCUGGAAUGACUCGAGUUUCCUGCUUUCAUCACUACACCUCCCACCGCUCUCCAUCACCUGCUGUGCUCUUACGAGGAUCCAGCUGAGACAUGUUUUAGGAAGUUUGCUAAAAGACCCCUGGAGACGUCCUCAUUGUGGCCUCCCUGCUGUUGUGUUUAAUUUGGUUGAUCUUCUCUGCCCUCCUGCUUUUCAGAAUUAAAAGGCUAAAAAGAGUUUUCAGAGAAAUGGAAUAAUUGUAUUGCUGAUCUACGUAAACAAGUUGAAGAAUUGUCUGAAAGAAAAUAUGGUGUGUCUGAACUGGAAAAGUCCUGUGAUAGUUUGUUCAUGAGCAUUUACACAAUGGAGUUACUGUUCAUCAUGGGGGUACUGUGGACAAGCCCAGGGCUGCUGACAUAAUCUUAUGAAUUCAACACAUGAAGAUUUACAACUUGAUAAACCAGCUUCAGGAGAUCAGAACUUCUUACAAUACAACUGAUGUUACUCAGCCUAGAACAAAUACAACAGGGAUUGUGCUGCAUUCUGACUUAGGUUCUGCCAUCGAACACAGAAUGCCCUGAUCCUUAGAGGCAGAGGCAGCUCUUCAGCCUAUGGGAAAACUGUGGAUUUAGUUACUCCACUCUGCCAUGUCCUUCCACCACUGCCUGCACAUUUGAGACCAAGGAUAGAGAUUGGGAAAAAUCCAUAGUUCUCCUGACUCAGAGUUUGGCUCCGGCACUCUCAUUUCAGCCAUAGCUGCAGACAAAGCACACGACUGCUGGGCACUGUGGCUCAAGAGAAGGGGGAGAUGCAGGAAGAAGAUGAGCCUUAAGUCUGAACACUGAGGAAUUCAUGUGCAUCAGUCAGACCUCCUGUGCAAGGAAGGAUGUGGUUACUACGGCAACCCUGCCUGGCAGGGUUUCUGCUCCAAGUGCUGGAGGGAAGAGUACCACAAAGCCAGGCAGAAGGAGAUUCAGGAGGACUGGGAGCUGGCGGAGCGACUCCAGUGGGAGGAAGAGGCCUUUGCCAGCAGUCAGAGCAGCCAAGGGGCCCAAUCCCUCACAUUCUCCAAGUUUGAAGGAAAGAAAACCAACGAGAAGACCCACGAGGUUACCACAGUGAAGAAAUCUUCAGUGCGUCUUCCAGGGUCGGAUCAAAGAAGGCAGAAAUUCAGGAAGCAAAAGCCAGUCCUUCCAUAAACCGGCGAACCAGCAUUGAAACGGAUAGAGUGUCUAAGGAGUUCAUAGAAUUUCUCAAGACCUUCCACAAGACAGGCCAAGAAAUCUAUAAACAGACCAAGCUGUUUUUGGAAGGGAUGCAUUACAAAAGGUGCCUCCAGAAAGGGUUGAGAAGAUAAUGGAUCAGAUUGAAAAGUACAUCAUGACUCAUCUCUGUAAAUAUGCGUUCUGUCCAGAACCCCAGUGAGCCUGGAAGACUGGGUGCUAUGGGAAAUGUCAUCAAUCCAAUGCUAGUGAAAGAUGUGACUGGGGAAUGCUGAAAAAUGCGCACCCCUGGGAGGAAUGAGGAAAGAUGACAUCCACUGACUUGUUAUUUUUUUGAGAAGGAGUCUUGCUCUGUUGCCCAGGCUGGAGUGUGGUGGCACGAUCUCGGCUCACUGAUGAUGAGAAGAAAGAUCUUGCCAUUCAAAAGAGGAUCAGAGUGGAAGCUUCUCUGUGGUGUCAGAAAGACGAGGAAUGUGGUGACCUCACCUAUCCAUCUCCCUCAAGGCAGCUUUUGUUUUUCUGCAGUGACCGUACUUGCAAUAAUUAAACAUAGUUGGUCAUUUAAAAUACAUCUCUGAUACUCUCGUCAAAGGUGGAGCCCAGUCCCUAUCGCCUUGAGUGAGGGCUGGGUUACGUGAUUCCCUUCUGACAGAUAGGAAAAAGCAAAAGUGAUGGCUUGCAACUUUGCAAACUACAUCAUAAAAGGUACUGUGGCUUCCUCCUUGCUCACUCUUUGAUUACUCACUUGGGAAAGCCAGCUGUCACACCAUGACACCUAAGCAGCCUGUAGAGAGGCUCAUGUAACAGGAACUGAGGCCUCCUGUCAGCAGUCACAUGAGGGAGCCAUCUUGGAAACAGGCUUUAGGUGACUGCAGUCUCAGUGGACAGCUUGAGUGCAAUGUCAUGAGACACCCUGAGCCCAAAUGACCCAGCUAUGCCACUCCUGAAUUCCUGACCCACAGAAAUGGAGAUCCUAACUUAAGUUCUUGGACUCACUGAGGCAGUAAAAGAACCAUAUCCUGUGUUUGAAUCAAAUCCCAAGUUCCUGUACGUAGAAGGUUUGCCAGACAGGAUUCCCUUUCGAAGCCCUCCUGGUUUGGAAUUCCAUGACUUGAAAGGAUCGUCCAUGGGAGUAAUAAAAUCAAAUUUGUUGGUAAAAAACCUGAACUGGUUAUUUCCUACUUGCCUCCUGGAGUUGCUAAUAAAAUAAACACUAAAGCUUCGCAGUUUCUAAAAAGACCAUGAAGCCCUGAGAGUAAUGAAAAGGUUCCUGAAAUUGAGGUCACUGUGGAAGCUGAGGCACAUGCCUUGGGAGCUAAGUGGCUGCUGCACUUGACCACUAUGAAGACUGGUGUGGGAAGAAUCCUUUUGGAUGCACUUGCAGGGGCCCCUAAUCCCUGGGUCACAGGACUAUAAUGGGCUACAUGGCAGGAGCCUCAGCCAAGAUGUCUCACCCCACUCUCUCUGAUGCAACAAGAAGCCCCUGGAGAACGUUUCAGUCCCAUUUUGUACUUCUGUCAUGUGCUCAUCACAGUCUGGUGGAAUUUAAAUGACCUCUUAUCAAGAUGGAUAAACCCAAGUUUCCCAGUGCUGGAAUAUAGAAAAUGGAUGGACAAGUAAGUCCCACUCAGCACCCAUAGCCCAGACAUGGGGACCUCAACACACCUGGGCCCCAGACAUCACCUUUCAUUCCGAGGCAUAUGCCAUUCAAGCUAAGGGUGCUACACUUGACCACUGCGGCAGUAUAGAUGAGUCUGAAGAAUGGUAUGGGAUGGAUACUUACGAAUGCACUCGAGCAGGGGUCUCCAUCCACAGGGCCACAGAGCCAGAGGUGAGCAGCAGCUGGAUCUACCAUGAAAGACUUCAGAGUCCAGGAAGAGAGACUGAUUGGGCAACAUGUUAUUCAGUUACAAAAAGACUUGGACUAUGACUCAAAAAUGAUCAAAUAAUAGUGCAUGCAUCCAAUGCAAUAAGAAGCACUUCUGGAGGGUGAGAGAAGCAUCCAGUUAAGGUGACAUUGAAGCUGGGUCCUGAAAGAUGAGGAAGAAUUGUAUGAGAGUGGGCAGAGAAGGGGGAGGUGGAGGGAUGGGGAAUGGGCUGAGAUGGAGUGAGCUGCUCAAGCAGGGAAACCAGCACUGUAAAGACCUGGUCAAUAAAGAUGGCACAUUUUAUUCAGGGAAUGGUGAAUUAAUUGUGGCAGGAAUGCUUUGGAGAGAGAGUAAUUUGCUUGUAUGGAAUUUUGCCCAAGAGACCUCAUUACAGUUUCUAAUCUUUUGAUGUUAUCGUCUAUCACUGUCCUUGUCAGAUAGUUUGGAAUAGGUAUAAUGAUCACAAUAACAUCAAGCAUAAUAUUUCAUUAAUUCUCACAAAAUCACAGGUAGGUGCCACAGUUAUCCCCAUUUUGUGAAUGAAGUGAUGAAGACUUAGGAAUGAUGAGUGAUUGCCCAAGCUCACCUGGAUAUUAAGAGGUCUUGCUCUGUUGUCCAGGCUGGAAUGUGGUAGUGCUAU
rnacentral:lncRNA from 1 species